UAUUGAUAAGUGAGGUGUACUUCAUGU
rnacentral:piRNA from 1 species